AACGAACGCUGGCGGCAUGCCUAACACAUGCAAGUCGAACGAAGCCUUCGGGCUUAGUGGCGCACGGGUGCGUAACGCGUGGGAAUCUGCCCUUGGGUUCGGAAUAACAGUUAGAAAUGACUGCUAAUACCGGAUGAUGUCUUCGGACCAAAGAUUUAUCGCCCAAGGAUGAGCCCGCGUAGGAUUAGGUAGUUGGUGGGGUAAUGGCCCACCAAGCCGACGAUCCUUAGCUGGUCUGAGAGGAUGGUCAGCCACACUGGGACUGAGACACGGCCCAGACUCCUACGGGAGGCAGCAGUGGGGAAUAUUGGACAAUGGGCGAAAGCCUGAUCCAGCAAUGCCGCGUGAGUGAUGAAGGCCUUAGGGUUGUAAAGCUCUUUUACCAGGGAUGAUAAUGACAGUACCUGGAGAAUAAGCUCCGGCUAACUCCGUGCCAGCAGCCGCGGUAAU
rnacentral:rRNA from 1 species